rnacentral:tRNA from 1 species
UGUGUUGUGGCUCAGUGGUAGAGCGCCUGUCUUGCAUGUGCAAGGCACUGAGUUCAAUCUUCAGUACCACAU